rnacentral:lncRNA from 1 species
UUUUUUGGUGUGUUCUUGGCUAUUUUUAGGUCCCAUGCGUGAGCUAUAGUUCAUGUUUUUUUGGUCUUCAUAUUCCUCUAGAUUUAUUAGAGUAGUAAGAGCUUUUUUUUUAAAAAAACAUGUUUAGUUGCUCAUGGUUUUGGGCCUUUUGGCCUCCCUUGUAGUUCCAGGGCUGUUUGAGGUGUCCAUGGGUAUCUUUGAUCCUGUUGAAUUUUCGGCCCAAAGGAUGACUAAUAUAGCUCAUGCUUGUUAUCUCCCAUGUCGUAAUUGGAUUGUCGGACAUGUCCUAAGAGUUUUGUGUUCUGGGGUAUUUUUCUCCCAUUGUGUAAGCUAUACAUCAUGUUUUCUAGUCCUAUUUGCUCUUGAUCAUGAGCUAUUCGAAUUCCGACGGACCUUUUGCAAAAAAAUUGUGCUAUAGCUCAUGUUUUCUAUCCUUCCAUAUCGAUCUAGUAGUGCUGCUGGAGGUAUGCACGGAUAUCUUUUAUUUGGAGAAUUUAUGGCCCAAAGGGUUAUAUAUAGCUAAUGUUUUUUGUUCUCAAAUGUCAUUUUAGGGUUGUUGGAUAUGUCAAUAGGUAUCUCUGCUCCACAAAAGUUUAGCCCAAAGAAUGACUUAUAGUUCUUUUGUUUUUUUUCCUCUCAUGUUGUUGCAUGUUUGUGAGACAGGUCCUUGGAAUUUUGUGUUCCAAACCAUUUUCGGCCCAAUGCAUGAGCUAUAUUAGUUUGUGUUUAUUUGUCUUUCUAUUCACUAUGGAUUUUUUGGAGUCUGGAUAUUUGAAUUUUGAAAGACCUUUUGCUCAAAGUGUGUGCUAUAGCUCAUAUUUUUUCCCUCAAAUUUCAUUCCAAGGCUGUUGGAGAAGUUCAUGGUUAUCUCUGUUUUGGAGAAUUUUCGUCCCAAUGGGUGACCUAAAGUCCAUGGUCUUUUACCUCCCAAGUUGUACGGGUCUAUUGAAAAUGUCUAGUACGUAUUGUUCAAUAAGCUUGUCACCUAAACACUAACUACAUCUCCCUCAUUUACAUGAUAGAGACUGGCGACAAAACCAAGACACAAAUAAAUACUAUGAUUCAGCAGUUUGGAGUAUCAUGAAUGUGAGGAAAACACAAAUGUAGAGAAAAGUAACUUGGUACAAGACUAUAUGAUUCAGUAGAGAACUAGAGUAAAAAAACACAAAUGUAAGUUACCUUUAAAUCUUUAAAUCAUAGUAAUUUCCCCUAAAAAAAUAUAUUGUUCAUAUAUUUAUAAAAAAUACUAUUUUUGUAACAUAAACAUCUAUUUUUUUCAUUGAAAUCUAUUUAAUUGAGCAUAUCACAUAUAAUUCGCAACCCUCAUGCCACCAGGUUCACAUUACUUUAAGUUAAUGUCCUUCUAGCAUGUAACGAACGGUUUUUGGUGUUUUUGUCACAUUACAUUAGAGCUUUAUUUUCUAUAUGAUGAAGAUGGCGAAGAAGCAACAGAAGGAUGUUUCACUUGCACAAGUACUUGAGCACACCAGGUAUGUGGAUUCUGGUGAAGUAAUCGUCCCAGUCGAUGGUCUUGGGGUCGAAAUUGAACAUUUGAUCUUCAGGGGUCUUCAUCGCCAUCAUGAGCCUCAGCCGCUCCAAGUUCAUGUCAUCGAAGCUUCAUCACCACCGCAGAAGGGAAGCAAAUGAAAUCAGAAAUUAAAUCCACCAAUUUGCUGAAUAAUUAAUGCCAGAAUAUGAUGAGCAACAUCUCUACCAUCCUUUGAAGAAGGCGAAUGGGCCGUAGACGUCAACAAGAUGCAUCACGAACUUGUACUUGCGGUUGAGGUCAUUGUAGAGCCGCGAGAAGAAGCCGCAGAGCAGCAGAUUCACCAGGUGCAGGAUCUGCAACGCAUCGAUACAACAAGACUCGAUCAUUAAUGCAAUUUGUGCAAAAACAUAACAUUUGAAACAAAAUCGAUUAAAUACUGUAAAAACAAUUAGAUAAUGAAUCUAGUGGCACCGAUAUAUGUCUAUCUUUAAAAUGGUUUGACCAAGUAGUUAAAAUUAAAUGGUAUGACUAUAAGCACUCCACUAGCAGGGAUCUUAUCUAACCUCUAAUGGCAGUUUGAAGGUGAGCAUCAUGUAGAGGUGGAACCGUGCGAUGGUGGUGAAGAAGCGCAUCUCCCUGGUGGGGAUGAUCUCCCCGUUCUUCCCCACGCGCGGGUUCUCGUAGAAAUGGCGGCGGCCGGACUCGUACAGCACGGAGUAGGUGACCGGGUUGCGCAGCGACGAGGUGGCGUGGUACACCGGCACCGCCUGCGCGCCCUUCUCCUCGGACGAGUGCGCCACCAUCGCCGCCAUCAUGGCGUUCACCACCAUGUCCCCCGGGAUGACGUCCAUGACGAGGUCGAGGUCGGCGAGGAAGCAGGAGAGGUUCUGCUCGGCGUAGCCGAUGAUGAGCGUGUCGAUGGUGCGGGUGCCCUGCAUCCACCCGCGCGCUGGGUCGGCCCGGACACUCGUGAUGAUGCUGGGCCGCAUGAUCACCACGGGCAUGUCGCCACGGAGCUGGCCCAGCAGCAUCUCCCCCAUGGCCUUGGUGAACACGUAGGUGUUGGACCAGCCGAAGUGACGGGCCCGCUGCAGGCCCAGCUCCUUCAUCGCCUUCCUCUCCUCCGUCUUCUUGUCGUCCUUGUUCAUCAUCGUCUUGAGCUCCUUCUUGGCUUCUCCGACCAGGCGCAGCUCGGCGUCGAUGUCCAGGUACGUGCCCUCGCGCAGCGACUCGCCGGGCUGGAUGGGCUUCUCCAGGAUGAGGCCCUCCCUGUCGCCGCAUACAAAAGCUGUAUGCGUUGAUGUGAGAUCAGUGAGAUGCUGCUGCUGCUGGAGAGGUCGCCAGGCCAUUGUCACAAGAAAUUUUACCAGUGGAGACGUGCAUGAACAUCUUGAGCCUGGGACACUGCUUGGCGAAGUGGCAGAGGUGCUUCACCCCCAUCACGUUCACAUCCAAGGAAACAUCGUAUCUUUCAUAGAAGUUUGUGGUUGCCGCAAUGUUGACAAUGGCGUCGAUCUCCUUGGCUACUUCCUUGAGCAUGGGAGCCUCCAGCCCGAGGUUCUCGUAGAUGAUGUCUCCGGCCAGAGGAACAACUUUCUCUUGGAUCAACUGCUGGAACCCGUCGCCGUGCUUCUCCCUCAGCAGGCCGAACAGCUCGGUGUCAAUCACCUGCACCAGCACCACAGGAAUUCUUAUCAUGGACUUUUGGACACAUUCAUCUAAAAAUAUAUUUUUAGAUUACAUCACAUGAUUUUAGUGAUUUUUCUGUUCGACCUCAAACGAGACAGGAACCGGAAUUGACCGGUCAAACUCAGGAAACAUUUCCCAUCGGCCAACCGUCAGGGAAAGACGAUCAUUCCUGACUACUAGCUUCAUGAUGUUUUUUGUUCUUUCGUGACGGUAUUUGGCCGUCAGGAAUCUCCCGCCAUACGGCCGCGUCCAUUUGCCAUCCAUCUUCCAUCGGUGGGAGCACGGGCAUCUACGUACUACAACUGGCGCGCGAGUCAGAGUAUUCCCGUUCAUUCAGCCAGGGUGCGGCAGUGCGAGGAGGAGCUCGGCAAGGUCGCCGUCCCCGGGGAGCAAUCCAGCAUGAUAUCUCUUUUCCUCUAUUUUAUUUGUUUGCUCGCACGCUCUGUGUGUGUUCGAGGAAAUGCUUCAGUGAAUGCGCUGGUUAUCUCAGCUCUUGCAGAUGCUCACGCAGCGGCCGCAUGCUUAGCGGAGCAGAGCGGCGCAGCUGCAGGUGUGACGGCAGCAUUUGCGACUCCAGCAAGCGACCGCGGCGGCGGCAUUUGGUAACUGUCAGCUAGCUGUUUACGAAGUUGCAAAUGCCAUCAUGGGGGCUGAGUAUGCAUCUUAAUGUGUCAUGAUAAUAAUAAUCAUUAACCCACCAUAAGUAUUGCUUGCACCAAACUAAGUAGAGGAAAUAUGUUUCUAUUUGUGUAUAGUUACUUCAGAUCAACAUCUUACUUUUUGAUACACAUUUUUCCAGGUGAACCGAGAGAUCUAUAACGAUGAUGAAGAGUUGAAACCUAAGUUCGCAGCUCAUCAUUUCCAAACUAGCAGUGAUUGUGAAGUUACUGGCUAUCUUGUAAGUCACAUAUCUAUUUCUUACACCCUUUCACAGUGACAUAGCUUUUGCUAACAAUUUCAUUAUCUUUAUCCAAGCAUCACCUUUUAUCAUAGGAGGUGAGUGCCUCGUUGGAGUCAAUUUCUUAGUUAGGCAAAGUACUGUUCAAAAACCACUUAGGCAAAGUACUAUUCUCAGUUUCCAUAAAAAAGGGUCCUUUUCUCAGUUAGGCAAAGGACGUACGUUCAUGAAGAUGGUGUUCAGAUGCCAUGUGCUGAGAAUAAUUUAGUAGCUUAGAUGCCGAGCUUCAAGAUUGAGUAUUGUUUUAUUAACUGUGACUUUAUAUAUGGUUUACCCAUCAGUAGAUCUACUUCCUGUUCUUACUGGCCUCUCUUGUCACGUGUCAGUGUUCAAAAACACAUGGCAAUUAUUUGUUGCAUAGAUGCAUGCUUCCUGUUAUGUCUGAAUGCACGGGCAAGAAACUAUACAUGGAGGCUUCAGAAUUCCUUUGGGAUGAAUGCAUGGUGCUGCGAAAUUCCUUUGGGUAUGCAACAACUUGCACGGGAAUCCAUGUUCUGAGUGAUCUAGAAUUACUGCACCACAUUUUGCUUUUGAGCACGCAGCUUAUGAGUUCUUUUUUCAUGAACAGAAUACAAGAUUUGCUGCUUCAUCCCAAACAGAGCAGUCAAGUUGACGGGAAAACAAGUGCAUGAUAAGGAUGGAAGUUGUACCAUAAAGGGAAGAUAGAUUGUUAAACAGAUUGGGAUCGAAGGUAUGCAUAAGCAAUAACUUAGUAUUUGCUCCUCUACCUCUGUUUCUUCCACGUUGUACCAGCAAUGCAUUGGCAAAUUCUUGAGAAGCUACUAACAACCAAGGCACUGUAAGUUUAUAGACUAGUCAGGCACCAACUAAAAAAAAAUAAGCUUACACUUGCAUUCUUAAUUUUGUUAAUAGAAAAAAGGUACAUGUUGUACCUCAUGGGCCAAAGCUUAGGGCAACAUCAUCCUUUAGAAAUCUCUACAUACAAGCUUCGGGACUGGUGAAUCUCAACUCUUGCAUAAUGCUUAUAUGCCACACUUAUAUUUCUUUUUCUUUAUAUGUUCUCGUCUGCAGCUAUUGCGAUGGUUAGGGGAUAGAGAUGUAAUGAAGGCUGAACGCCAUCAUGCAAUGCGGUAUGUAUCUGAUGUCAGUCCUUUUUUUUUAGUUAUAUAGGUUAAGCAAAUUUACUUAUCCUAGUUCAGCAAUUUAUUAUCUCCUAUGUUGCAAUUAUAGUAUGAUAUUCAAGUAUUUUUUUUCAGUAACACACACAGAGUCAUGCGCAGUUUUCUUGAACUAUUUUUCUAGAUGCGCAUUUUGUGAUAAAUUUUGUGCAAGAAGAGAUAUGCAAUCCAUACUUGUGCACUGUUGUAUUUUAUUGAUUCAUUUUUUGUUCAGCGUUGGCAACAUGGGCUUGUGUUGCUGGCGAGAAAUCAUGUGCAGGACUAUUGGUGUUAGCAGCACUGUUUGCGAGUCGCGACUAGUGUCCAACUCUCAUCAGCAACCAAAUUGAAAGUGUAUAUAUGCAUGAAACAGCAUGCUUCACUGCUGCCAUGCAUGCCUGGCUUGACAUGAAUUUGAAGAUGAGAUGCCAUGGUCUUGUUAACACACAAGAUAGAUGAUGGUUAUAAGGGAUGCAUGGAACCUCUUGCUGGACUCUCUGCUGUGCAGAAGCUGCGUCCGUCCCUCGUACCAGCAGGUACAUCUUGUUGGCAUCAGGCUGCACCCGGAGUAUCUUCUCCACAACAACUGCAUGCAGCAUAUAUGUGUACAUGUAAAACAUAUAAAUGUUAUUGAAGGUAAUCAUAUAUAAUGCAAUGAAGAGGUCGAGGAGACGACGACAUACGCUUUCCAAGAAAUCCAGUUGAGCCUGUGAUGAGGAUGCUCUUGCCCUUGAAAUACCCUACGAUCCUUGAAGCGUCCAAGCUAUCGUGCAUCAUCUUGCUUGCUUGUUCUUCUCAGAGAUCGAUCUAGAGAUCUAGAUGGCCGGGUGGGGGUGAGUGCUUUGCUGCUGUGCUUCCUGCUACAUAUCAGCCGCACAAGGCAGUGAGAGGCACAAAAAGGAUGCGCAUCUAUUUAUACACAGCCGCAGGCAGAUCGUCAUUUAUUACUGUUGUUGUUACUUCCUUUCCUAGAGUAGAUGUAGGGUCCUAAGUGAUGUCUGAUGCAUCCUAAGUGAUGUCUCAAGAAUUUUCUUGUUGGAAAGUAGGCCCUUGUUUUGCUUACAUGGUAAGACCUUUUGUCAGGGUGUCCACCAAACUUAUUUUGCUUACAUGGUAAGCAAGAACUUGAUGAGAUGGACACCUUUGCCUCCAUAGCUGUGAUCCCCACACCCUUCCAUGUUGCAUUGCACCAUAGAAAUGUCAUUACACUGCCACAGGACACUUGAUCAUCAAACCUAGGAACGUGGCUAGAUUGAUUUGGUUGGUCAAUUGCCUGUAUAAAUCCAGCGGAGCUAAUAAGAGGAGUGAAGUAUUUGAUUCUGUCCUUUUUUUCCCCCACCCAACCGCCAAACCAGCCAGCAGGAGAUCUGCUGGGGUAUAUUAAUAGAGCAGGAAAAAAGGUGGGUUCAAGAACUUUUGUGUUAAACUUUUUGCUGGUAGUUGAUUGGAGAAAGACAAUUAAAAAUCAGAUCAAUUGGGUACGGAUCCACUAUUUUUGUUGUUAACCCCUCCCACCUAUUUGAUAUUUCUUGGUACUUUUCUCUAGGUACAUCUAGAUACUUCGUAUCUUUCCACCGUACGAUAUAACUGGACGGCUCUCAUUGUUUCCUACUAUUGUAAAAAUCACAAACCCAUGGGGAUCGGAAAAGAGCAAAUAGGAGAAACAAUGCAGUGCUUCGAAAGAAACAAAUGCUAGAAGUUUAUUUCCACUGUCCCGAGAAAAUAGGUUGGGGGCUCAAGAGAACAUAGCCUACUAUUCAUCUGUUAUGUGUUGAUCAAUCAAGGAGUACUAUUUUAUCAGAAAAAAUCGAGUAUCAGCACCACGCUUGGGGGCCUGAUCGAGGUAGUCCAGCGUCCAGCCUACUAGAGGAAAUGUGAACAGUAGUACACACAUAUCAGCCUCAGCUAAAAUUAGCAGCAAUAAGAGAGAAACUAAAUGAUCUCUGCACCUACACUUUGGUUCUUAGAGCUCUCACGUGGAGCUUAAGCAACCAUGUCAAAAUCGAUGGUUCUUAGAAAAACAACAAACUAUUGGUAGCAAAAGGAGAAAAUGGUGAGCUCAAUUAACCUGAAAUGACAACACCAGGUGCUGAUGCAUUUAUUCUCUUAUUAGAUAUCAAUGCGGUGCCUUUACACCCACCGGAAAGCGAGUCUUCAUAUAGCGAUUGCUACUGCUUAGGGCACUGACACCAUAAUGUAUUGUUUUUAUAAUUGUACACUAUGAUUUUAGAUAAAGAAAUUUGUAUCAUGUAAAGGCAUUUUUUUCAUGAUGAAUAAUCUAGAAGUGGAGGACCCGCCUGGCAGCCUCGCAACCACGACCGCAGGCCGGAUGGGCAGCUCGCGGCGGCGGCGGUGGCAUGAGCUCCCACCGCAGCGCCGCCGCCGCCGCCAAUCGCCGCUGAACCAGCCGCACCCCUAGUUGUUUCGAUCGCCCAGGCCACCCCUUAAAACCGCUAGUGCCCGGCGCCUGUCGGCCUCUAGCCGCCGCCGGCAGCGUGCUCCACCCGGACAGGGCAUCCCAAUAUGUGAGUGAUAAAAUGGGGGUACUGCUGUCAGACAAGUGAACCACGAGAAAUUACCUCUGUACCCUUUCGGAAUUAAAAAAAUAAAUAAAUUAAUUCUUGGUCCCAUUAUUUUUGGUACUUGAUCCCACCAAUUUGAUACUUCUCGGUCUCCUUGGUACUUCUCUUCAGGUAUUUCAAGGUAAUUUCCACCGUUAUAUUUUCUUAGGAUAGACGGCUCUCAUUUGUUUAUAAAUUGAUGGAUCAAAGUUAAAAGGUUUAACCAGUUAAAUAAAAUUCUAAAACAUCAUAUAACGACUAAUCCCCUCGUCGUGUAACAGGAGCUGACACUGCUAAUAAUUUGUUGUAUGCAGCGCCGGUAACUUUGCUGGUCAAAAAUCACUGCUUACUCCCGCAAAGAGUGUUCCUUUAGUUAUAUCAUAAGCCAAAUCGUCUUAUAUUUGAUCAAGGUUAUAAAAAUAUAUCAAUACUUUUGAUGGGUAGUAAGUUUCAUUACAUUCGUUAUGAAAUAUAUUUUCAUAGCAUACCUCUUUAGUGUUAUAAAUAUUGAUACUUUUUAUUGUAAACUUGAUCAAAUUUAAAAUAAUUUGACUUAGGAUAAACGAUAUUUUUCAUUUAAAACUUGAUCAAUAGAUUUGGUUGGCCGAUACCCAUCGGUAUCCGCAGGUACACCAGGAUUUUGAUGGCGCUUGUAUACUUUAUUACCUUAUUUAUUACCCCCUCCAUCCUAAAUUAUAAGUCGCUUUGACUUUUUUGAUACAUUCACUUUGCUAUGUAUAUAGAUAUAACAAUAUGUCUAGAUGCAUAGCAAAGUGGAUGUAAAAAAAGUCAAAGCGACUUGAAAUUUGAGAUGGAGGGAGUACCUUAUUAACGUUGAUUUCCACCCACUUGAAAGUUGGUGGCGCUUAUGUAAUUUAUUUAUUUAUUAAUUACCUUGACGUUGAUUGUCACCCACUUCAGUACAUGUACAUGGAUGACUAUUUUUUUGUGCGACAGGCUGCAUAUCUCUAGAUUUUCAGUACUUGUGUGCGAUGUCAUCCCGUAAUACCAUCUGACUUGCCUCUGGGAGAGGCCUUCUUGUUUACACUCUGAGCCUGUUCAGCUGGAUUUAUAAGCCAGCUGAAAAGCUGAAAUGACUGAUUUGCUGUGAGAGAAAAACACUGUUCGGCUGAUAAGCUGAAGCGAAUAGACUGUCUGUUAGUUGCAACAGAACAAGGCUGCAAUGAUAGUCUUCGGAAUGCUUGGGCACACACUGAGAUGAACAGAGGAGGAUGAGCUGGGCCGUCUCCUUCCUCUUGAGAGCAUGAAAGCAGCUCAGCUGGAUGGCCAGGUAUCUCUGUCAGCGUUCCUAGGGAUGAUGGGUUCUGAGUUGUACCUGCACUGCACUCAGUUUUCUGACUCGUCGUGUAGCCUCGCCUUUAGCUUUGGAUGCUCGUCUCUCUCCAACGGAAUUAAACAGCUAAGAGUUGAUACAACUUCGAAGGGGAUGGUCCUCAAAGUACUCCGUCCGUCCGUUUCAUAUUAUAAGUUGUUUUGAUUUUUCUAAGUAUAUAGUUUUCAUUAUGCACUUAGAUAAAUAUUUAUAUAAUAAAAGUUAUGUAUAAAAAAAUCAAACCAACUUACAAUUUACAUUUUGAAAUGAAGAUAGUAACAAACUAGUGUCGACUAGCAGGUUUUAUGGUGCCCCAAGCAACAGGAAACCGAGGCAGCUGAUGAUUGAUUGGAGUAGAGCCAAGGAAAAACCAAUGGCAACUGUUGCCACCGCUGCGCCAUUCAUCUUGUACUGUAAUAGUGGUAGCAGCAUUUGGGCCACGUUUUUCCAAACUGGAUUAGAGUACUAGACACAAGACCUUUUUCUCCAAAAAGUUUGCCUACCAUUCAAGAAGAGGAGCAAGCAGUUCUUACAUAACGAUAUUACAAGACAUAAUUGAAUAAACUCCUCGUACCACUGAAGAAAAGAACUGAAACACACAAGUCUUCAAACAUCAUCUCCUCCUUAAUUUCUUGCACCACCUGCACUGGCUCACAUUGUCGGUCUUCAAACACCCUCUUCGGUUUCUUUCCUUCCACAGGUUCCAUGCUACAUACAUGAGCAAGGCUGACUUCAGAUGUUGUUCUUCCUGUCGUCCAAGCCGCACCAUGUGACCGUCCAAUCUUUGGUCAGAGAGGCAGCACAUCCCAUCGCCACUUCAUGUCUUCAUCCUCUCUGCAACCAAGGAGCAAGGCAUUGCUACUGCCAUUCAGACCUUCAGUAGUGACCCAUUCACUGACAUGCUAUGCUACUGCCCAAGUUC